GGAUGCGAUUAUACCACGGCUCACACACCAGGAUCUCAUCAAAACUCCAAAGCUAAAGUGUGCUUGGGUGAGAGUAGUACUAGGACGGGUGACCCUUGGGAAGUCCUUGUGUUGUAUCCC
rnacentral:rRNA from 1 species